CCGCCAACGAUCUAGCCAGUUAUUCCAGCUAUCACGGGACACUGGCAGAUUGGCACUCACUUCUCCAGACCGUCAAUCCCGCCCAAUUACCGAAGCAAUCUGUCUUUUUCUGCCACUGUCCGGCCCGCUCACGGACAUUUUGGGAAAUUUAUGCCUACCACGGAUUAGGCAGAGAGCGGCAACACAAAGGACCUUUUACAGGUCCAAGUGAAACGGGGGAGACUCGCCGCCUCUCCCCAGACACCGCCACAACUUAUCCCAAACUGGAUAGACUUCAGUUCUGUUAUAUGUAGCAUUUGGACACAUAAACGAAAUGUGUUCAUUGGGAGAUGAGUACCGAGGACACGGCGUUAAAAAUAGCUAAACAAAUUGUUACAAAACAAUUUUCCAAGUGAAACGGGGGAGACUCGCCGCCUCUCCCCAGACACCGCCACAACUUAUCCCAAACUGGAUAGACUUCAGUUCUGUUAUAUGUAGCAUUUGGACACAUAAACGAAAUGUGUUCAUUGGGAGAUGACUACCGAGGACACGGCGUUCAAAAUAGCAAAUCAAAUUGUAUGCCCUCCCGUGAAAUCGAGUGAGUCAGAGCGAGUUUUUAUUAAAAACGAGGGGGAACGUUGUGAGUUGCUGCGGACACCGAAAUUUUGAGAUAUACGUUUUAUAGU
rnacentral:sRNA from 1 species